rnacentral:rRNA from 1 species
ACAAUGCGGAACAAUGUUUUGCAAUUGGAUUGAGAACAACGUACAAACCUUAUCGAUAAACAAUUGGAGGGCAAGUCUGGUGCCAGCAGCCGCGGUAAUUCCAGCUCCAAUAGCGUAUAUUAACGUUGUUGCAGUUAAAAAGCUCGUAGUUGAAAUGAAGGGUGGUUGUGUAAUGAAUACAUUCGUGUAUUUUGUUAUUCUACUACCCUCCUUCUAAAUUCGAUAUAUGAGUAUUAAUUUACUUGUAUAUGGUUUUAGACUUUUACUGUGAGAAAAUUAGAGUGUUCAAAGCAGGCAUUUGCUUGAAUAUAUUAGCAUGGAAUAAUCAUGUAUGAUUUUCAUGAUGUAUUUGAUUGGUUUGGUUCAUGAGAAUAAGAUUAAAAGGGACAGUUGGGGGUAUUCAUAUUCAAUAGUCAGAGGUGAAAUUCUCGGAUUUAUGGAA